rnacentral:rRNA from 1 species
AGUCUCCUACGGGAGGCAGCAGUGGGGGAUAUUGCACAAUGGGGGAAACCCUGAUGCAGCGACGCCGCGUGGGCGAAGAAGUAUUUCGGUAUGUAAAGCCCUAUCAGCAGGGAAGAACAAUGACGGUACCUGACUAAGAAGCACCGGCUAAAUACGUGCCAGCAGCCGCGGUAAUACGUAUGGUGCAAGCGUUAUCCGGAUUUACUGGGUGUAAAGGGAGCGCAGGCGGCGCGUUAAGCCUGGUGUGAAAGCCCGCGGCCCAACCGCGGGACUGCAUUGGGAACUGGCGCGCUGGAGUGCCGGAG